UGGCCCUUACUACUUAUUAUUAUAUUCCUAAUUGGAGAUGAGGAUGAGAUGGAGAUUGGAGAUAAUAUAAAAAUAUAUUCUAUUGUUUUGAUAGUCAUUGAGACCCUUUUAACCCGAGCAACACGACAGGUGCCACAUGUGGAAUAGAUCUGCGUAUCCUUCCGGAGCACCUGAGAUACCUCCUGUUUUUGAUGGGGUUCAUUUUACUA
rnacentral:lncRNA from 1 species